rnacentral:rRNA from 1 species
UCCCUACGGGGGGCAGCAGUGAGGAAUAUUGGUCAAUGGGCGAGAGCCUGAACCAGCCAAGUCGCGUGAGGGAAGACGGUCCUAUGGAUUGUAAACCUCUUUUGCCGGGGAGCAAAAAGCGGUACGUGUACCGCAUCGAGAGUACCCGGAGAAAAAGCAUCGGCUAACUCCGUGCCAGCAGCCGCGGUAAUACGGAGGAUGCGAGCGUUAUCCGGAUUUAUUGGGUUUAAAGGGUGCGUAGGCGGACUGUCAAGUCAGCGGUAAAAUACGGGGGCUCAACCUCCGCCCGCCGUUGAAACUGACGG